rnacentral:lncRNA from 7 species
CGCCUCCUCGCCAAGCUCCCUCCACGGCUCUGCCCCUCCAGCCUCCCCCAUUCCCAGCUCCCUCGGUCCCUCCUGCUCGCCGCCUAGGCCCAGGGCCGCUGGCUCCGGCGUCCGGCCUUAGGGCAUUGGCCGGCAACCCCGGCGACCGUCCCUGCCGUGGUGCGGCGCCUCCCCCUUUCACUGGCCACUUCCCCAGGAGACCCCAGCGACUGCGAACAGAACAAGGAGGCGCAGCCAGCAGUUCUGCGGAGAAGGGAAGAAUGCA